GUAACCAAAGAAUUGGAGAAUAUUUGGAGAUUAUUUAGGUCAGUUGGAGAAUAUUUGGAGAUAAUUUAGGUCAAUUGGAGAAUAUUUGGAGAAUAUUUGGAGAUGAUGUGUAUAUAAGGUUCAGAUUUUUGUUAUUCAGACGGAUAACAUUUUUAGAUACAUCUUAGCAGAUUACUGAUAGCUUUUGAAUUAUUAUUAUUUCUUUAUAUGUUUGUCCGCACAGUAUUGGACGCUGUUGCGUGGUUCCGCUCAGUAUUGGACACUGAUGCGUGGUUUUGUCCGCACAGUAUUGGACGCUGUUGCGUGGUUCCGCUCAGUAUUGGACACUAAUGCGUGGUUUUGUCCGCACAGUAUUGGACGCUGUUGCGUGGUUCCGCUCAGUAUUGGACACUGAUGCGUGGUUUUGUCCGCACAGUAUUGGACACUGUUGCGUGGUUUUGUCCGCAUAGUAUUGGACACUAUGCGUGGUUUUUGUGAGUUAACAGUAUUGGACACUGUU
rnacentral:lncRNA from 1 species